rnacentral:rRNA from 1 species
AGAGUGAACGCUGGCGGCAGGCCUAAUACAUGCAAGUCGAACGGCAGCACGGCAGAGCUUGCUCUGUGGGUGGCGAGUGGCGGACGGGUGAGGAAUACAUGGGAAUCUGCCCAGUCGUGGGGGAUAACGUAUGGAAACGUACGCUAAUACCGCAUGCGCCCUUCGGGGGAAAGCCGGGGACCUUCGGGCCUGGCGCGAUUGGAUGAGCCCAUGUCGGAUUAGCUAGUUGGCGGGGUAACGGCCCACCAAGGCGACGAUCCGUAGCUGGUCUGAGAGGAUGAUCAGCCACACUGGAACUGAGACACGGUCCAGACUCCUACGGGAGCAGCAGUAGGGAAUAUUGGAACAAUGGGCGCAAGCCUGAUCCAGCCAUGCCGCGUGUGUGAAGAAGGCCUUGGUUGUAAAGCACUUUUAUACCGAAAGAAAGACACUAGGUUAAUACCGUGUGUCUGACGGUACCGAAGAAUAAGCACCGGACUAACGUCGUAGCCGAGUACGACCG